rnacentral:rRNA from 1 species
CUCAGAUUGAACGCUGGCGGCAGGCUUAACACAUGCAAGUCGAGCGGUAACAGGAGAAGCUUGCUUCUCGCUGACGAGCGGCGGACGGGUGAGUAAUACUUAGGAAUCUGCCCAGUAGUGGGGGAUAGCUCGGGGAAACUCGAAUUAAUACCGCAUACACCCUACGGGGAAAAGGGGGCGCUUGCGCUCUCGCUAUUGGAUGAGCCUAAGUCGGAUUAGCUAGUUGGUGGGGUAAAGGCCUACCAAGGCGACGAUCUGUAGCUGGUCUGAGAGGAUGAUCAGCCACACCGGGACUGAGACACGGCCCGGACUCCUACGGGAGGCAGCAGUGGGGAAUAUUGGACAAUGGGGGCAACCCUGAUCCAGCCAUGCCGCGUGUGUGAAGAAGGCCUUUUGGUUGUAAAGCACUUUAAGCAGUGAAGAAGACCUAACGGUUAAUACCCGUUAGCGAUGACAUUAGCUGCAGAAUAAGCACCGGCUAACUCUGUGCCAGCAGCCGCGGUAAUACAGAGGGUGCAAGCGUUAAUCGGAAUUACUGGGCGUAAAGCGAGCGUAGGUGGCUUGAUAAGUCAGAUGUGAAAUCCCCGGGCUUAACCUGGGAACUGCAUCUGAUACUGUUGGGCUAGAGUAGGUGAGAGGGAGGUAGAAUUUCAGGUGUAGCGGUGAAAUGCGUAGAGAUCUGAAGGAAUACCGAUGGCGAAGGCAGCCUCCUGGCAUCAUACUGACACUGAGGUUCGAAAGCGUGGGUAGCAAACAGGAUUAGAUACCCUGGUAGUCCACGCCGUAAACGAUGUCUACUAGUCGUUGGGGAACUUGAUUCCUUAGUGACGCAGCUAACGCAAUAAGUAGACCGCCUGGGGAGUACGGCCGCAAGGUUAAAACUCAAAUGAAUUGACGGGGGCC